CCUUUGUGAACAUACCUCAACUGUUGCUUCGGCGGGUAGUCGUCCCCUGAAAAGGACGUCUCCCGGCCCCCUCCCGUCCGCGGGUGGGGCGCCCGCCGGAGGAUAACCAAACUCUGAUUUAACGACGUUUCUUCUGAGUGACACAAGCAAAUAAUCAAAACUUUUAACAACGGAUCUCUUGGUUCUGGCAUCGAUGAAGAACGCAGCGAAAUGCGAUAAGUAAUGUGAAUUGCAGAAUUCAGUGAAUCAUCGAAUCUUUGAACGCACAUUGCGCCCGCCAGCAUUCUGGCGGGCAUGCCUGUUCGAGCGUCAUUUCAACCCUCAAGCUCUGCUUGGUGUUGGGGCUCUACGGUUGACGUAGGCCCUCAAAGGUAGUGGCGGACCCUCCCGGAGCCUCCUUUGCGUAGUAACAUUUCGUCUCGCAUUGGGAUUCAGAGGGACUCUUGCCGUAAAACCCCCAAUUUAUCUAAGGUUGACCUCGGAUCAGGUAGGAAUACCCGCUGAACUUAAGCAUAUCAAUAAAG
rnacentral:rRNA from 1 species